CAACAUCCCCUUUAGGUCCCAACAUCUUCUCUAGGUCCCUGCAUGGCUUCAGAAGUACAUGUGCUCCCAACACCUCGCAGUCUGCAGCGUGGCCGCUUCCAAUCACGACCGCUAGAGGGCGCGCGGUCACCUACCACCUCGACUACAGCAUCUGCGCUUGCGCCACAUGACACCGCUUCCGCCUUCCUCCUUCCAACCGCCUUUCGCCCCGCCCCGCAAGGCUCCGCCUCCGUUGCCCCUAGCGUCUGUUUGUUGACUUCCGGGAGCACAGUAGUGGUCGAUGCCAAGAGGGUCGCGAUGGGGAACCGGGGGGCUAGGGCAGUACCUUAGGCCCAAUCGAGUCGCCCCUGCUGUCUUUCCGAAGCAGGCACAGAUUCCGUUCGCAGCCUUCGGCAUGGCAGAACCUGAGUCAUUGGUGCCUGAUACGGGUGCUGUAUUUACAUUUGGAAAAACUAAAUUUGCUGAAAACAUUCCUAGCAAAUUCUGGUUUAAAAAUGACGUACCCAUAUGUCUUUCAUGUGGAGAUGAACAUACUGCUAUUGUUACAGGAAAUAAUAAAUUGUACAUGUUUGGCAGUAACAACUGGGGCCAGUUAGGAUUAGGAUCAAAAUCAGCUAUCAGCAAGCCAACAUGUAUCAAAGCUCUUAAGCCUGAAAAGGUGAAACUUGCUGCGUGUGGAAGAAACCAUACCUUAGUUUCAACAGAUACUGGUGGUGUAUAUGCAGCUGGUGGAAAUAAUGAAGGCCAAUUGGGGCUUGGUGACACUGAUGACAGAGAUACCUUUCAUCAAAUUGGCUUCUUUACACCUAGUGAUAUCAUUAAACAGCUCUCUGCUGGUGCUAAUACAUCAGCUGCUCUAACUGAGGAUGGAAAACUUUUUAUGUGGGGAGACAAUUCUGAAGGGCAGAUCGGUUUGAAAAAUAAAAGUAAUGUAUGUAUCCCUCACGAAGUGACUGUCGGUAAGCCAAUUUCAUGGAUCUCCUGUGGAUAUUACCAUUCAGCUUUUGUAACAACGGAUGGGGAGCUGUACACAUUUGGAGAACCUGAGAAUGGAAAGUUGGGCCUUCCCAACCAGCUGCUGAUCAAUCACAGAUCUCCCCAGCGUGUGCUGGGGAUUCCUGACAAGGUGAUUCAAGUAGCGUGUGGUGGAGGGCACACUGUGGUUCUCACAGAGAAAGUUGUGUAUGCCUUUGGGCUGGGACAGUUUGGACAACUGGGCCUUGGCACUUUUCUUUUUGAAACUUCAGAACCCAAAAUCAUUGAUCGUAUUAAGGAUCAGAAAAUAAGUCAUAUUUCCUGUGGAGAAAACCAUACAGCUUUGAUGACAGAUAUAGGCCUUAUGUAUACUUUUGGAGACGGACGGCAUGGAAAAUUAGGGCUUGGAAUGGAGAAUUUUACCAAUCAGUUCUUCCCUACUUUGUGCUCUAAUUUUUUGAAAUUUACAGUUCAAUUGAUUGCCUGUGGUGGAUGUCACAUGCUAGUUUUUGCCACUCCACGACUUGGUACAAUAGACGAAACUGAAUUUGAAGAAGUAUAUGAGCCUUAUAUGAGUACAGGUUCUUUGUCCAUCAAUGAUCUCUCCCCAGGAAGUUCUCUGAAUAGAUCUUUAUCAGCGCGUCUGAGACGAAGAGAGCGGGAGAGACCCUCAUGCUCUGCUUCAAUGGUGGGAACACUGCCUCCAUUAGAGGGGACUUCUGCCUCCACUUCAGCUUCUUAUUUUUCCCCCAGUUCAAUCCCCUUCCGUUUGUCUGUGAAUAACUACCCAGAGAAAAGCACCUCUGACUCCACGGAGCCGCUGGACUCAGAUUAUUUUGAAGAUAAAAUGAACAAAGAGACAGAGACAGAAAAUUCUUCAGCAGUGGAUUUAGAAAACUUUGGUGAAACCAUUGAUAUCUUAAAUAUGACACAUAUGAUGACCACGAGUUCCAAUGAGAAGUCAUUAGAUUUUUCACCAAUUCAAAAACAGCAGAAUCAAGACACGGUUGAGAAAGUGGUGGAAAGUACACCGUACACUGAAAAUGAGGAUAGUUAUGAAUAUGAAGAGAUGUCAAAAAUAAAAGAAGGGACAGUGUACAAACAAUAUUUAGCAAAAGGGAUCUUCAUGAUACGAGCACCUGAGAUUCUGGGAACAUUUUCAGAUGAGGAAGGGGGUAAUAGCCUAGACCAGGAGGAGCUGCAGGCCUUCACCGGUGUAAAAAGUGAGCAAGUGGGAAAGGAACGUGAUGAAGAAAUAGACUCUGAGAAGAAAACUCAGGCGAUGGAAAUGGCAGAUUUGAAAAAGGUUAGAGAAAGUCAAGAGAACUCAAAAUCAGAUACGUUUUUUGAUGACUUACCAGAUAAAGACAUGAAUUCUGAGAGUGAAGACAAUAAAGAUAUUGCUGAGGAAAGGAAAAGCAGUGAACAGAAUAUGGUCUUUGACAGUGAAACAGAGUUGGUGGAAGAGCCAGACAGUUACAUGGAGUGCAAAAAGCACAGCGAGCAGGACAGUGCUGAGGAGUCGGAGCAGCACAAGCUGGUAGAAUCUAGUAUCGAAGAGAAAGAUGACGACGAAGUGGAGACUGAGCACUACUUAUGGUACAGCAGGAAGUGUGCUGAGCAGGCAACCGAGAAUGAACUCAGAGCAAACAGAUUUCUCCCAAAGUACGAUCUUAAGCAUGACCACUUGUCAGGGAUACCCGAGGAGCAGGAGGGAGCAGAGGAUGCGGAAGGAAGCGUAGUAGUGGAGCAAGAGGUACAGGCACAAGAGGAAAAUAUGGAACUGGAAGGAGACAGAGAGGAAGCAAAGGCAGAAGCCCUGUCAGAUGUCAUUACAGAAAAAGAGGUGAGUGAAAGUGAGGGAGAGUCAGUGGGCGACAGUGGGUCUGAGGGUGAAAGGGGUCAAAUCCGUGAGAAGGGUAGUUUAGGAGUACAGCAGUGGCAAAGGGUACAGGAAAAGCAAGAAAGGAGGAAAGGUAAGGGUAAACAAAGUCACAUCCUGGAUAUGGAAGGGAAGGGAGAGGAUGAAGGAUGGGAGAAAGGGGGUGAGGGAGGAGAGAAAAUGGAGAGGAAUGAAGGAAACCGAGAGGAAAGAAACCAAGAGAUGGAAGAAAGAGAAGCAGGGGAUGAAGGAAGUGAAAAAGAAGACGAAGAGAAGGAGGAGGAGGAGGAGGGAGAGGAGGAGGAGGAGGAAGAAAAUCCAGAAGAGAAGGGAGAAGAAGGACAGGAAGAGGGAGAAGGCACAUCAGAGGAGCAAAGUAGGGAGGAGGAAGGAGAUAGGCAAGAGAAAGAAGGGGGAAGGGAGGAGAAGGAAGGGCAAGAAGAUGAGAAAGAAAGAGAGGAGCUAGAACGGGAGGAGGAAAUAGAGGAAGGGGAGGAAGAGGGGGAAGGAGAGGAAGAAGGGGGAGAAGAGGAAGAGGGGGAGGAAGAGGAAGAGGGGGGAGGAGAGGAAGCAGGAGGAGAGGAAGAGGGGGGAGGAGAGGAAGAGGAGGAAGGAGAGGAAGAAGGGGGAGAAGAGGAAGAGGGGGAGGGAGAGGAAGAGGGGGAGGGAGAGGAAGAGGGGGGAGGAGAGGAAGAGGAGGAAGGAGAGGAAGAAGGGGGAGAAGAGGAAGAGGGGGAGGGAGAGGAAGAGGGGGAGGGAGAGGAAGAGGGGGGAGGAGAGGAAGAGGAGGAAGGAGAGGAAGAAGGGGGAGAAGAGGAAGAGGGGGAGGGAGAGGAAGAGGGGGAUGGAGAGGAAGAGGGGGGAGGAGAGGGAGAGGGGGGAGGAGAGGGAGAGGGGGGAGGAGAGGAAGAAGGGGGAGGAGAAGAAGAGUGGGAGGGAGAGGAAGAGGGGCAAGGAGAGGAAGAGGGGGAGGGAGAGGAAGAGGGGCAGGGAGAGGAAGAGGGGGAGGGAGAGGAAGAGGGGGAGGGAGAGGAAGAGGGGGAGGGAGAAGAAGAGGGGCAGGGAGAGGAAGAGGGGGAGGAAGAGGGGGAGGGAGAGGAAGAGGGGGAGGGAGAAGAAGAAAAAGAGAAAGGGGAGGAAGAGGAAGUGGAAGACGAUGGGGCAGAUGAUGGAGAAGAGCUAGAAGACAAGGAGGGAGAAGGUACAGAGGAAGAAGAUGAGGAAGAGGGACAAGAGGGGGAAGAAAGAGAAAAGCGUGGACGUUGUGAGGACCAUGUGGAGGAAGAAGGGGAAUACAAGGAGGCAAUUGGAAAAGUGGCUGAAAAUCAAAGACGGGAAGACAGAAAACAGUCCCCAAAAGUGAGUAAAAUUAACAGGUCUAACAGGUCUAUGAAAUAUGGCAGACACGGCACAUACCCAGAAAAGUCCAUUACUAACCCAGAGAGACGGGGGAAAGAGCAGACACCUAAAAUGCCAAUGGAGUCCAAACAACUUUUAGAGAAUGGGCUCCCAGAUUCCAAAAGAUUCUGGAAUGAUGUUUUACCGCUUUAUUUGGAAUUGAAGUAACAGACUCAAUUCGACCUGAUUAUGACCAGGGUUGUCAUUUGUGUGCCUAAUGCAUAAUAGGUGUGCUCAUUACAUCUUAUUAAACUGAUCCAUUACUAUGGUACUUUAUAUGUGGUUAAAACACAGACAACUGAUGACAUUUGUACUAAGGUGUCAAAGGCAACAGGAGACAGUGUUAAGUCUUGAUUUCCUGCUAAACUCAUAUCUUAUGUUCUGCCCCCAAAUUACUAAUUCCUAACUAAAAAAAUAUCAUUAAAAGGCCCUUUGUUAUACUUAACAUUGUAUAUUGCUCAUUAAUAACAAGCUUAUAUGCCGAAGCCUACUAUAAGUACUAUGUCUAUAAAAUCCAGUCUCUUUAAGAACAGUACAGAUGUUUCAGGGUUAUCAAACUUCUGAUUUCUAAUAGAUAUUUUAGUACCCCUUUUCAGUCUCUAUGACCUAAAAUAUUUUUUGUAAGAAGUGAUGAUAACUUAAAACUAAGGUGAGAAAUUCAUAUUUUAAGAAAUGACAUUUGUAAUUUUUUGUACCCUUUGAUAAAAAUCUAUAAAGUGACAGCUAUGCUCAGGUCUUAGAGGUAUACUGCUAUGAUCUUUUGAGAUUGCUGCCUAGGCACCUGACAGGAUAGCUUAUGAAUGAGUAACCUGAACAUAUAAUAGAGGGGCUCGGAGAAGCUCAGUCGUCCCAAGAACGACUCAUUUGUCUGCUCUUAAAAGUGAUAACUUCAGGGGUUGGGGAUUUAGCUCAGUGGUAGAGCGCUUGCCUAGCAAGCGCAAAGCCCUGGGUUCGGUCCCCAGCUCUGGAAAAAAGAAAAAAAAAAGAAAAAAAAGAAAAAAAGUGAUAACUUCAAUGUCUCCUGUCCUCUGUAACAUUGACGACUUUAAACUCAACCGAUUUCUGUACUAACUCUGUUGUCAGACCUUCAUUCUCCUUGUGUGUUCUGUGGCCUCAAUGGAUUUUCACUGACUUCUGUAAUUCUCUUUGUCUGUUACUUAUCAGAAUGCUUCAAGUAAAAUAAAGAUUAAAUGUAUACACUCAGGAUUGUUUGUGGAGGAAAAACUGUCUAAAUUAGCUAGUGAAUUUCUAAAAGUCUCAUUUGAUUAGUUUUAUAUAAUGUAGCUAUUUUGCUUGUGUAUUCUUAACUUUUUUUCCAAUUGAUUUUCUCUCUCAGCUUGCUCCAUACCUUCACUGUAAAUGUUGUGUAGUUGAACUCCAUACCUUUGAUUCUCUAAUUAUGAGCAUGAGAUAGACAGGAAUCAAAUGAAGUAGCAUUUCCUGAGAGCAGUCUGUAAAUUAGAACUUGCUACGGAGGUAGCAGGUAGCAUCCCUAAAUAAUGGGCUACAUUGAUUUGACACUGCAGUCCUUGGCCAAAGUCUACCAUAUUUAUUAUUUGUAGAGUAGAAUUAGUCAUAUGCUAAGGUGUAUGUACCAAAAGUGAUUAGUAAUAGUUUUGAAAUGAUUAAAUAAAAGGGCUGGCAGGUUUAUAAGAGAAUGCCAGGGAAAUAAGAAUCUCAACUUCCUCUUAUUCAUAUCAAAGGUGGGGUCGGGAGGGCAUUGGUUUUCCAUGAAGAGAAUCAGCCAGGAGUACUGAAGGUAUGUUCUAAAAGUACACCUGUUUCACUGUUUCACUGAUAGAGAGAGCCACUUUCAAGCAGCAUUUCUCACCUGUUUCAUUACAUUUCCCUGCUCCGAAACGUGCGGUUCCCGAAGUAAUGGUUCCUACAAGAUACGGUCAAAAGAGCAUUUAUAUAGUCAUUUUGCCUCCAGGCCCUACUGACAACUUGUACUUUCAAGGUGUUAUCAAGAAUCACCAGCAUCUUUGUCUUUGUAAAUGUCUGCUUUGGUUUUUCUUUGUUUUUGUUUGUUUGUUUUAAGAAACAUACAGAAUUAGGAUGUAAGACCUAAGGAAUUCCAUAGGAGCAGCAUUGUUAGAGAUGUGUCACACCAUAAUUCCUGCUAUCCCUAUUCCUCAGUUUAAAACAGAAGCCUUAAGUUUAGUCACAGGAAUCACCUAGUCUUCAAGCAGUUAGAUGGAAGGGAGCAGUAGCCCUAAACAAAGCACGCUGCCCUUCUCUGCCCAGUGUACCGCUAACACUUAGUAAAUCAUGCAUUGUGGCAGGCCUAAUGCACUCUAAAGUUUAUGGAUAGGAGUUUGUUGGUGGUUAGCAAUACAUUGAGACGGGUAUAAAAGAAUACACACUCUCAUAAGUAGAGGUUAUCAUUAUACUUGUAUAACCCUCAUUGUUAGAGAAAAGAAACAAGUAAAGGAUAAGACAACUUGGCCCCUCCUGCCUUGGCAGCUGCUUACAUAGACCUCAAGAGUUUGCUCCUCCUUGUUUGUUUUUCAGAUAGGGUCUCUCGCAGCCUAGGCUUGCUUAGAAAGUACUUGGCUUACUAUGUAGCCAAGGAUGACCUUGAACUUUGAGCCUCCUGUUGCUACCUUGCCGGUGCUGGGAUUACAGGCAUGGUAAAUCUGCUAGCUGUUCGAGCGCUUGCUUUAUUUCACUGAUCAUUACUGGGGUAAAUGUGAGGCGUUAUCUCUGUAGAAUCCCUUGAGUUACAGUUUCCUAAUGUGGACUCUGGCACAAAGGGGCUUUCAGGUAAGCUGCAAAGAAUUUCUGCAGAGCAUCUCCGGCUGUUCAACAACAGCCCUCAAGGUGAGUAAUGCUAAAGUGUGUUUUGGUUGAUAAUGAUUGAUUGUAGACAUUAGUUUACAUGCAUGUGUGCUCUCUCCAACCAAUGUAUCGUAAGGGAAGGUGCUGUCAUCUUUUUCCUCAUUCUUUUCAUUGUGAAAAUUCAAUGUCCUAUGGCAUGAUUAGCUCUUAACAUAUAGCUUAAUAUCUGGUACAUCCAGUAUUUAUGUAUCUGGCCUCUCAAAGGCCAUCCUGAAGUCAGAUAGACCUUAAGAAGGAAGUCAGGUGUUAAUCCACCUCCCACAAUCCACUUUUUCUCUGUCUUAACUAUCAGGAGGACUAAAAGUGGUUCUCCAAAGAACACUUGGUGCUUCUGCCAGGACUAUUUCUUUUCUGUUUUUUAAACCUUUUUUUUUCUUUUUAAUUAUAUGCCUAACUUAACAAUGCUAUUUGUUUUUCUACCUGUAUAUAUUUAGCCAAAGCUGCACUAAGAUGAUACUUGAGCUUCAAAAUACAUGUAUACCUUGAUUUUAAAAAGAGACUAAUUAAAGAGACGAAAAAAUUGUGUCUUAGAUAUGCAAGACAUAAGCUAUGACCCCUGAUUUCAGAGGACCCUAGAAGCCAACAGGAAAUUCAUUAGUACAGUAGUGUGUGUUAGCAGAGUGACUUUUGAAUCUUGUUAAGUAGAACUUAACCAGCAAAGGACUUUAUAUACUCAUACAGAAUGUUACAGGAAAAAGAAUAUAUUGACUACACUUGAAGGUUUGUAAGGCUCUUCUGGUGGUGAUAUGAAAAUGAUUUGAAGCAGGCAGGAGUAAAUUCAGUAGACCAGGUAAAGAAUGAACUGGACAUGGGAUAGGACAUGGGAUGAAGACAUGGGCUUGUGUAUCAGAGAGUUUGGGGGUAGUCAGGACAAAGAUGUAGUUGGGAGGGAAGGGGAAGGUGAAAGCUUUCUUUUUUUCUGUUAAACUCUGUAUAUUAUUACUGUUUACAAUAGAAAAUUAAAUGUGAAGAUCUUGGUCUGAUAUACAUUGCUUUUCUCUCAGGUUACAUACAAAGCUUGUAUUGAAGAACCGAGGUUCCCUCUGUUGUUGUCUUUUAAAAGACCAGAAGUUAGUAAGAAAAAACUGACCAGAUAACAUAAGAGGAAGAUGUGCUGCAGCGGAAGGAUGAAAGCUUUCUUUUUUCUGGCCUAGAAAACUGAGUAGAAACAGUGCUGUUCACAGUGACUGAAAAUAAGGGAAGAGGAGCAGUCUGGGAGACCGUUCUGCAUUUGCUAGCUUCCAGUGGUCUCCAGGAGAUGUUCAGUGUGAGGGCCGGCAGAUGUGCCUGGAGCUCAGGAAAGGUCGCUGGGGAUCAGUAGCUUGUCCAUGUACUUAGCUGGUCUAGUGAAAGCAUCUCUUCUGUGAAUAGAACUUUUCAGGCAGGAUCCAUGGGAAAAGUCAGGGAGUGGUUAGAUGUGGCUCUUCUCAACUUGUGGGUCAUAACCCCUUUGAGGGUCACAUAUCAGGUAUCUGUAUAACACAUAUUUACCUUAUGAUUCACAACAAGAGCAAAAUUGUGGUUAUGAAAUAGCAGUGAGACGGUUUUAUAGCUGGGAGGCCACCAGCACAUGAGGACUGUGUUAAAGGGGCUCAGCGUUGGGAAGGCUGAGAGGCACUGGGUUAGGGUAAAAGAGCAGUAAGGAAGUUGAUGAAUGGAACUUGUAGAAAAUGUGAGAGGUAUAUUCUAAGGAAAAUGCUACCCAAGCUAAGAAGGGGUUUCAAGGAAGGAUUGAUGGCAGCAAAGGAACAUCUUGGGGGUGGCCUGAUGGAAGCCUAGAGCCAACACUGAGAGUGACAAAAGCAGCAGAGCUCCAAGGAGUUUGCCUUGCACAAAAUCAGAGUCUGAACUGCAUUUUACAUUCUGAAAAUUACCAGACAACUGCUGGCAUGCUUCUUGGAUUAGGAAGGGAGAUGUACAAUGCAGGGACUUGCAUACUUUCGAUAAAACUCCCUGAGUAAAUUUGCAGUUCAUACAAACAGUGACAUGAGACCAGGAUGUUCUUGUUGGGAAUGUAGGAAAUAAAAUAUUCUGCAGUGUUUGAAACAUCAGUGCAUAGGGAAAACAUGGCUCUUCUGAUCUCCAAAUUACUUGGACAGAUUUGGGGAAGACCAGAGUCAUGGUAGUCCGACAAUCCUGGGAAAGAGCUUUAAUUUUAAUAUUUAAGGCACGGAGAAAUGGAUCGCACUCAGAUGGCUAGCCUAAAAUAUAUGACCACAAAAAGAAAAGCAAUGAGAAUGGUAGAGAACAAAUAUAAAACUGAGAAUAAAAAUGCCAGUCACCCCAAUGUACAGUUCCCUGAAUAUUGCAUUCACACUUGUAGUCUUGCUUCUCAAACUGGAAUGUAUAUGUAGUUACAGUAAAGGUUAGGAAUGAAAUAGCGAAUCAUGCAUAAAAGAAAAAAGACUUUUUAAAUAAAGUGGUAUCAUAAGAAGAUAAAAAUGCAGAGAUCAAACUGGCAGCUUGUAGGCAUUCUCUAGACUGUACACUUUAUUGUUGCUUCCUGUGCAAAUGAGUUAAUUGAAAUUGUUUGUCAGUAUUGAAAUAUAAGCAGAACAUACAUAUAUAUAUACACAUAUAUAUAUGUAUAUAUAUAAUGAGUGGGAUCAAUUUCUUUGUGCUUUAAACACAAAAUUAUAGAUAGAUAGAUAGAUAGAUAGAUAGAUAGAUAGAUUUGUUUUGUUUUCAAAUAAAAUAAAAUAAAGCAGACCAAAUUAUUUUUUAAAAUAAAGCCCUAUAAAGCAAGUUAGUAAAAAAUAGUUAAUCAAUUAAACUAAGUAUUUGAUUUGGCUCACUGUCUGAAGUCCACUUUAUAGCAACAGUGAGAUGUUAAUGAUACUUGUGAGAACACACCAUAUUAAACACUGGCAACAAUGAAAAGCCAACUCUACUGUGAACAAUUAGAUACUUUUCUUCAAGAUUUGAUUUAUGUUAAGCAUUAAAUUACCCAAUGGUGAGCUAAAAAAAAUUCAAUCUUUAAUUUCAUUUCAAAAAUUCUUUAGUUGCAUUCCAAAAACUCUGUUGUAUGCUAGUAUAUUAAAAGCUUUAAAAGAAACUAUGCAAUUUUGCCUAAAAUGUUUAAAAUUCUUGUUUACAGAAUCACGUGGUGUUUUUUGACAUUUUAAUAAUCACAUUUCUCUCUUCCCCUUCCUUCCUGCAAACCUUCCCAUACACUACUCCUUGCCCCCUUUCAAUGAGCUUCCAUUUUCAUUAAUUGUUAUUAUAUGCUUAUAUGUAUAUAUAUAUAUGUAUAUGUAUAUGCAUAUAUAUUCCUAAAUAUAAUCCACCCAAUCUGUCUAAUAUUAACUUAUAUAUAUAUAUAUGAUUUCAGGACUGACCAUUCAGUAUUGGGUAACCAGUUUCCGUACACUUCCAUUGGGAAGACUGUCUCCCACUUUGGGCAUGCCUCAAGUUCUUUGUGUGGGAUUGAGCCCUUGUUAGCUUUUUUCUGUCCUCUUUGGAAUGUCUAUUGGUAUCUUUAUCUAGCUCAUGUUUAGGCUGUCAUGUUAGUGAGACUUUAUGGGUGUCACUUCUCAUACUACUAAGAGAUACAAUCUCAAAGCAAAGUCCCUGAUCCUCUGGCUCUUAGGUGUUUUUUUUUUUUUCUCAAUCUUGGUAGAUAACUCUUUUUUUGAUAUAUUUUUUUCUUGGAUAUUUUUUAUUUACAUUUCAAAUGUUAUUCCCUUUCCCGGUUUCCCGGACAUCCAGACAUAAUUCGCCUAUCCCAGCCUUCCCCCGUUCUUCUAUAAGGGUGUUCCCCCUCCCCAACCACCCCCGCUUCCUACCCCCAACAAUCCUCUUUUCCAAAAUGUUCCCCGAGCCUUAGGUGUGAGAGUGUAUUACAGAUGUGUCAGUUGGAACUGGACUCCACAACCCUGGAUUUUGUGUGUGUGUUUUGACUGUGAGUGUAUUUGUGUGUAUUUUGUAAUGGUCUCCAUCUGUUGCAAAGAGAAGUUUACUUGAUAAAUGGUGAGGACUACAUGUACCUGUGGGUAUAAAGACAAAUGUCUAUAUUGUUAUUAGUUACUGUGUUAGUUUAGUAAAGUAGUAGUUAUUGGUUCUCCAGUAUCUAUGACUUCACUAGCACUGAGUACUUGGCUAAGUUUUCAGUACCAGGCAUGGCUUCCCCCUGUUGAACAGGUCUUAAGUUCUUCCUAUACCACCCUUGGGGUGUGGUGCCAUGCGGAUCACUGUUGUGGUUCAUAGGCCCCAUAGCUGGGUAGGAGUAUUGGUUUCACUCUUGCAUAGUGCCUUCUGGUACAACGGAAGCUCAACCUCAUUGAGGGGACAUUCAAGUUAGUUCCAUCACAGAAGCCUCUAUGCCUUGUUUCCGAAGUGCAUGGGGGACUUAAAUCUUCUACCUCUGGGAGGCAACCAGAGGAAACACCAAGAACUGUAAAGUUUUGGGAGUCCCUUGGAUAUCUUGACCAACAACUCAAAGGAGGGCUUUUCCUAUCUGGAAUUGGGAUUUUUGUUAGCUAAUCUUUGACACUCAAAGGGGCAUUUUUAGCCGCAAUGACAAAUUUUCAUUUAAUCUCUAUUCGUAUAUUUAUUUAUACACGAAAUUGCAUGUAUUAUAGAUUCUUUUAGAUAGUUACUAGUAUGACUUUUUCCAGACAAUCAACCUCUUCUUUCCUUAUGUAUUUACCUCCCUAGUAAACCUUCUCUUGGGGGCCUCAGCAAUGCUGAGCACUAAAUUCUAGGGCUCCCCAGGCCUAAAGCAUUAGUUCAAGGUUCCCUGUCUUUAACAGUCACUAUGGUCCCAUGGCUGUUUCUGGUAGGCACAGGGCAGCCUUCUUGACUCUCCUAGCAACCAGGGUAGUAAUCUAGAAUAAGGAUUUUUGAAGUGAGUGGGUCUUUUGACAAACUGAACCAUCACAAGGAACAUUGCUAUCCCUCAUAAGACAUACAAAUUGUGUUGAGCCAAAGCAAAGACCAGAGCUCACUGUGGUGUGUGACCGAUGAAUUGAUGGUCUAGUUGGGUUUGUCAGGCCCAUUCACUUCUUCACCAUGGUUCUAACACAGGACAUGUACUUGAACAUUCCAGACUAUCAUUUUAAGAAUGUACUGAAACUUUACCUUUUCUUUUUAUAAAAUGCCAGUAUUCUGCCACUAUCUCCUAAAUUCUCUCAGUUUUAAAGAUUCCUCAACUUUCAGAAAGUGUGAAACCAGAAGCAGAAGGCAUGGAUGAGCAAAUUAGUGUCCCAAAUGUAGAAGACACUGUAGAAGAAGAAGGGAAGAAAGAAAAGGAGACUGUAGAAGAAGGAAGUCUACCUGAGGAUGCCCUUCCUGAAACAGAAGGCUCCGAAACUGUCGUUCCUGCUGAUGAGAAGCCAGCUGAGAUGGUUAAAGAGG